GAUGAACGCUGGCGGCGUGCCUAACACAUGCAAGUCGAGCGGGGUUUAGGCGCUUGCGCCUAAACCUAGCGGCGGACGGGUGAGUAACACGUGGAUAAUCUGCCCUUUACAUCGGAAUAACAUCUAGAAAUAGAUGCUAAUGCCGAAUAAGCCUACAGCAUUACAUGAUGGAGUAGGAAAAGAUUAAUUGGUAAAGGAUGAGUCCGCGCCUGAUUAGCUAGUUGGCGGGGUAAAAGCCCACCAAGGCGACGAUCAGUAGCCGGCCUGAGUGGGUGAACGGCCACAUUGGGACUGAGACACGGCCCAGACUCCUACGGGAGGCAGCAGUGGGGAAUAUUGCACAAUGGGCGCAAGCCUGAUGCAGCAACGCCGCGUGAAGGAAGAAGGGUUUCGGCUCGUAAACUUCUAUCGAUGGGGACGAAACAAAUGACGGUACCCAAGUAAGAAGCCCCGGCUAACUACGUGCCAGCCGCCGCGGUAAAAC
rnacentral:rRNA from 1 species